GACGAACGCUGGCGGCGUGCUUAACACAUGCAAGUCGAACGAAGUGGCGAACGGGUGAGUAACGCGUAAUCAACCUGCCCUUCAGAGGGGGACAACAGUUGGAAACGACUGCUACUACCGCAUACUGAAGGAGGGGAAUGCGUCUGAUUAGCUAGUUGGAGGGGUAACGGCCCACCAAGGCGAUGAUCAGUAGCCGGGCUGGAAAGAUGAACGGCCACAUUGUGUAUGAUAAAAGGCCCAGAAUCCUACGGGCGGCAGCAGUUGGGAAUCUUCCGCAAAGGACUAAAGUCUUACGGAGCAACGCCGCGUGAGUGAUGACGGCCUGCGGGUUGUAAAGCUCUGUUAAUCAGGACGCGGUACCGGAAUAGAAAGCCACGGCUAACUACGUGCCAGCAGCCGCGGUAAUUC
rnacentral:rRNA from 1 species